AGAGCGAACGCUGGCGGCAGGCCUAAUACAUGCAAGUCGAGCGGCCCUUCGGGGCAGCGGCGGACGGGUGAGUAACGCGUGGGAAUGUGCCCUUUGGUACGGAACAACUGAGGGAAACUUCAGCUAAUACCGUAUGUGCCCUUCGGGGGAAAGAUUUAUUGCCAUUGGAGCAGCCCGCGUUGGAUUAGCUAGUUGGUGGGUAAAGCCCACCAAGGCGACGAUCCAUAGCUGGUCUGAGAGGAUGAUCAGCCACACUGGGACUGAGACACGGCCCAGACUCCUACGGGAGCAGCAGUAGGGAAUAUUGGACAAUGGG
rnacentral:rRNA from 1 species